UGGGGAAUAUUGGACAAUGGGGGCAACCCUGAUCCAGCAAUGCCGCGUGUGUGAAGAAGGUCUUCGGAUUGUAAAGCACUUUCGACGGGGACGAUGAUGACGGUACCCGUAGAAGAAGCCCCGGCUAACUUCGUGCCAGCAGCCGCGGUAAUACGAAGGGGGCUAGCGUUGCUCGGAAUGACUGGGCGUAAAGGGCGUGUAGGCGGUUUACACAGUCAGAUGUGAAAAUCCCCGGGCUUAACCUGGGAGCUGCAUUUGAUACGUGUAGACUAGAGUGUGAGAGAGGGUUGUGGAAUUCCCAGUGUAGAGGUGAAAUUCGUAGAUAUUGGGAAGAACACCGGUGGCGAAGGCGGCAACCUGGCUCAAUUACUGACGCUGAGGCGCGAAAGCGUGGGGAGCAAACAGGAU
rnacentral:rRNA from 1 species